AAAUUUUCACAGAUUGUAAAUGCGUUUCUUUGAAUGUUAACAGAUUUUGAAUGCCUGUCUUUCUGUUGUGAAGGAAAUUGCUGACCUUCAGGGCAUAAUGGUCCAUGUCUUUAAUUCAUAUGUGACAGUGACUUGGUUGCCACCCUUGUGCGCAGACCCAAUGUGCAAUGUUCCUGAAAAUCUAGCAAGUCAUGACAUAAUUCUAUCUCCCUCCUGGUCAGAAAAUCAUUGGAAGAUCUGUGCAACUAGCAAAACCAGUCAUUCCAGAGCCAUGGAGGGAGUACAGCUGUGAUGACAUUACAG